CCUUCACCUGCAGAACUCCAGCUGAACCAAGUAGGAAGCCAGGCGAGCUGUAAAACAUGAACAGAGGAGUGGAUUAUUUGGUCACUGAGGUAGAGAUCAAUCUUACCAGAGGACCCUCAGGUAAAUGGCCAAGACCUAAAGAACCUGCUGCACCAGGAUGCUGUAGGCCUCUUUCGGAAUGCAGGCUAUGCUGUGUCUCUGAGAGUGCAGCACAGGUUAUAGGUGCAGAAUGGACCUAUCGGACACUGAGGUGAAGGGGACCCAAGUGAUAUUUCCAACUUUAUGGUGCUGGUGCCAGUGUUUCCCUCACUGUGGUAGCAGCCUGGGCUUUCAUGAGAUACCAGCAACAACUUUGA